AUUGAACGCUGGCGGCAGGCUUAACACAUGCAAGUCGAGCGAGCGGCGGACGGGUGAGUAAUGUCUGGGAAACUGCCUGAUGGAGGGGGAUAACUACUGGAAACGGUAGCUAAUACCGCAUACCAUCAGAUGUGCCCAGAUGGGAUUAGCUAGUAGGUGGGGUAAUGGCUCACAUAGGCGACGAUCCCUUUCGGGUCUGAGAGGAGUACCAGCCACACUGUGACUUAGACACGGUCCAGACUCCUACGGGAGGCAGCAUUGGGGAAUAUUGCACAAUGGGCGCAAUCCUGAUGCAGCCAUGCCGCGUGUGUGAAGAAGGCCUUCGGGUUGUAAAGCACUUUCAGCGAGGAGGCGUUACUCGCAGAAGAAGCACCGGCUAACUCCGUGCCAGCAGCCGCGGUAAUUC
rnacentral:rRNA from 1 species